UACGUAGGGGGCAAGCGUUAUCCGGAUUUACUGGGUGUAAAGGGAGCGUAGACGGUGUGGCAAGUCUGAUGUGAAAGGCAUGGGCUCAACCUGUGGACCGCAUUGGAAACUGUCAUACUUGAGUGCCGGAGGGGUAAGCGGAAUUCCUAGUGUAGCGGUGAAAUGCGUAGAUAUUAGGAGGAACACCAGUGGCGAAGGCGGCUUACUGGACGGUAACUGACGUUGAGGCUCGAAAGCGUGGGGAGCAAACAGG
rnacentral:rRNA from 1 species